UCAAGUCAAUAUUUAUUCUUGGAUUUCAUGUCUAGUUCAGCAGAAAAAAACUAAAGUUUUCCAAUUCUUUUAUAAUAUUGCAUUAUUGCCUUUGACAUUUCCAGUUCCAAUAGUAAACAUGCGGUGGCACUAUUUUUAUAAAUUUUAUCUCGGAUGUUACGAAUUGUGACGUCUAGUUUGUGACAUGAGCAUAUUGUAAUAAAAUUUAACUGGGGAAACAACUUGCACCAAUCAAGUUAUCUCAACUAUAAGUGUAACACCUCGUGCAUUUGGGUUAAGAUUUGACUCAUAAGACGGGGGUAUAAUGAAUCCAAUUUGAGUAGUGUAUAAAUGGUGUUUGAAACCCAAUUAAGACAUGAGAAGAGUCUUUGGGCAAAGUAAAGUUGAAAACCACUCUACGGGGCAUGUUUGCAAGUGAAUUUAUAGAAGGUAUUACUUCCAACGACCAUAACCCCUUUAUUAAUUAGGAAUUUGGGAAAAAUUCCUCUUUGAAAGUUGUAGAGAUUUGAAAUAGCUUUCCAACGGUAUAUUAUGGGGGUCAAACGGACAUCUGUUCAAAGAUUUAUGCCCAUUUUACUGAAGCCCAUCUUCGCUGGAAAUUCUACCUGUGUUACGGUGGACGUUACGGGCCGUAACACGUGUUACGGGACCGUAACAUGGAGCCGUAACGUCCCAAAAUUUUCCAUAAACUCACUGGAAAUUUUCACUAAGGAACGGUCCCAAGUUACGGUCCAUCCUUCGUGUUACGGGGCCGUAACAUGGGGCGUCCUUUGGUCCGUUAAGUACGUUUCGGGUCACUUGACUUCGAGAGGCCAUAACCCUAUCAUAAAUUGGGAAUUUGGGAAAACUCAAAGAAUUAAAGUUGUAGAUAAUUGAAAUACCUUUCCAACCAUAGGUCUUGGGCCUACAUGUGACAUCGAAAUAGGGAUAUAUGGACGUUUUAAUACAGAAAGGUCCCAACCCGAUUUCAAGUCGGGUCAAACCCAUUUCCCCUUGGUAUUUAAGGGAAAUGCUCAACCCUAGCAUCCCCAUUUUCUCAUAUUUUCAGAUUUUAGAGAUAGAUAGAGAGAGAGAGAGAGGAGAGUUAGAGAGAGAAAGUAGAGAAUCAACCAAGUUGAAGGCCCCGAAUCCCGAGGCUCGUGAAGGAUAAAGUGUUGUACAAGUUGUUGCCGUCGUUCUAAGCUAAAAAUCGAACUUGGGGAUGUUGUUUUCGUGGUGACUACUCAUAAAAGAUUGAAGUUGAAGGGAUUGAAGGACAUUGUGAUACGCUCAAAAGCGGGAAGUUAAGGUACGAACUUACAGGACGACGCCUCUGCUCAUUAGGAUCUGCACGUACCAGCUUAUUGGUGAGCCCCAUCUCAUUCGGGGUUUAGUUAACUUUUGUUUAUGAUUAGUUAUGCAUCUAAGGUAUGCUGGGGGCCUUGUUCCAACAAGUACGUUUUAUGUUCAGACUCUUGCUAGAGGUUUCAUAGACUAGGCAAGUCAGUUAUGUCAUGUCAGACAUUCGGAGUCGUAUAGCCAUUUUGGCUCAUUCAUGUUAUUUUCGCACUCAUGUUUAAACAAGUAUUUUAUUAAGCAUUAUGACUUACUGCGUUUUAUAAA